GAUUAUCGAAGGAAUAAAGCCUUAAUUCAUAAUC
rnacentral:ncRNA from 1 species